CCCAAGUCUGAACCAUACUUGACAGUACUGAAUCGUACUUGACCCUUAUCUUUGCCGUUGAAAAUAGUCUGAACUAUUACUCGACCAGUCUGAAACAGUCUUAACCCAUUCUUGACAUGUACUCGACCUAUUUUCCAGUCUAAACCAUACUUAACCAAAGGUCUCAACAAAACUCGACCAGUCUGAACCAUACUAGACCAAAAACUCCUACUUUUUUAACUGUUUAAAUAAAUUUCUUUCUAACUGACAUAUAUAAUAACAGUCAACAACAUUUAUAAAAG
rnacentral:lncRNA from 1 species